rnacentral:lncRNA from 1 species
CUUGGCAUGAGAUUUGGAACUUGAAAACUAAGCACAUGUCCCAAGCUUGGAUCUUGAGGAGUAACUCCAUUUUACGGUGGAUUAUCAUUUGUAGACAAGUUUUCACCAUUUAAAAUAAUAGGAUCACUCUUGUUAUCUCUUUCAUUUAGUGGAAUGUCACUAUCCUUGGUGAUUUGGUAGGUUCUCAAUACCUCUUUCUCACCAAUAAAUAGUUGCAUAUCCCCUUGUAACUCAUACAGUUCGAGAUUCUCUUUUAUUUCACCAAUGUUUAGGAAUUCAUCCUCAAAGAAAUCAACAUUACGAGAGUCUAUUUCAGUAAUGCCACCAUU